CCCUUAGAUGUUCUGGGCCGCACGCGUGCUACACUGAGUGGAUCAGCGGGUCAGGUUGCGCGAAAGUGUUUCCUAAUCUUUAAAUCCGCUCGUGAUGGGGAUUGACGGUUGCAAUUUUCCGUCAUGAACGAGGAAUACCUUGUAAGCGCGGGUCAUCAUCCCGCGCUGAAUACGUCCCUGCCCUUUGUACACUCCGCCCGUCGCUCCUACCGAUUGAGUGGUCCGGUGAGGCUUUGGGAUCUGAGCGGAAAGAGCGUUUCGCUGUUUCUGCCCGGAAAACUCAGUCGAACCUUAUCAUUUAGAGGAAGGAGAAGUCGUAACA
rnacentral:rRNA from 1 species